UAAACCUAUCUGGGGUGCCUUCAUUGGCUGAGAAAUACCCAUUGAACCUGAUCGUGGUCAUGCGCGCGAAGGGAGAUACACUAAUGGUACU
rfam:Leuconostoc citreum KM20, complete genome.